UACGUAGGGUGCGAGCGUUAAUCGGAAUUACUGGGCGUAAAGCGUGUGUAGGCGGCCACGUAAGUCGGAUGUGAAAGCCCCGGGCUCAACUCGGGAAGUGCACUCGAUACUGCGUGGCUUGAGUACUGGAGAGGUUGGUGGAAUUCUCGGUGUAGAGGUGAAAUUCGUAGAUAUCGAGAGGAACACCGGUGGCGAAGGCGGCCAACUGGACAGAUACUGACGCUGAGACACGAAAGCGUGGGGAGCAAACAGG
rnacentral:rRNA from 1 species